UCCCUGGUGGUCUAGUGGUUAGGAUUUGGUGCUUUUACCACCACAUCCUGGGUUCAAUUCCCAGUCAGGGAA